rnacentral:rRNA from 1 species
GCUUGAAUGAAAGGUUGGACGAGAGAUGGGCUGUCUUUUUGGUGUAGUUUGAAUUUAACUUUUGAGUGAAAAGGCUCAAAUUUUUUAGUGGGACGAUAAGACCCUAUAAAACUUUAUACAAAUCUAGCUGAAUCUGUGAUUUUAGUGAAAAAUAGUUUUGUUAAGUCUGUAUUUCAUUGGGGUGAUGAAGAUAUAAUGGAUGUAACUGUCUUAAAAAUUAAAUAAUUGUGAUUAGAUCAUGAUCCUGCAUGUGUGGAUUAAAAGAAUAAGUUACUUUAGGGAUAACAGCGUAAUUUUCUUUGAGAGUUCUUAUCGACAGGAGUAGUUGCGACCUAG